rnacentral:rRNA from 1 species
UACAGAGGGGGCAAGCGUUGUUCGGAAUUACUGGGCGUAAAGGGCGCGUAGGCGGCCCUCUAAGUCAGACGUGAAAUCCCUCGGCUCAACCGGGGACAUCGUGUCGUCAUACUGGAUGGCUUGAGUUUGGGAGAGGGAUGCGGAAUUCCAGGUGUAGCGGUGAAAUGCGUAGAUAUCUGGAGGAACACCGGUGGCGAAGGCGGGUCUCUGGGCCGUAACUGACGCUGAGGAGCGAAAGCGUGGGGAGCGAACAGG